UACGAAGGGGGCUAGCGUUGCUCGGAAUUACUGGGCGUAAAGGGCGCGUAGGCGGCGCUGCAAGUCAGGCGUGAAAUUCCUGGGCUUAACCUGGGGGCUGCGCUUGAGACUGUGGUGCUAGAGGACGGAAGAGGGUCGUGGAAUUCCCAGUGUAGAGGUGAAAUUCGUAGAUAUUGGGGAAGAACACCGGUGGCGAAGGCGGCGACCUGGUCCGUUACUGACGCUGAGGCGCGAAGC
rnacentral:rRNA from 1 species